UUACAAACUGCCUGUAAGACACAGAGAAGGGUUUACAUUCACCGCCAUACACUACAAACUGUCUGUAAGACAGAGAGAAGGGUUUACACACACCUUUUACAUUACAAACUGCCUGUAAGACACAGAGAAGGGUUUACAUUCACGGCCUUACACUACAAACUGCCUGUAAGACAAAGAGAAGUGUUUACAUUCACGGCCUUACACUACAAACUGUCUGUAAGACACAGAGAAGGGUUUACACACACCUUUUACAUUACAAACUGCUUGUAAGACACCGAGAAGGGUUUACAUUCACCGCCAUACACUACAAACUGUCUGUAAGACACAGAGAAGGGUUUACACACACCUUUUACAUUACAAACUGCCUGUAAGACACAGAGAAGGGUUUACAUUCACCGCCUUACACUACAAACUGCCUGUAAGACACAGAGAAGGGUUUACAUGCACCUGUAGUUUGUUUAUGCUAACCUGAGCUAACAGCUGCUAUUCAGAGAUGAUGUCAUGUCACUCAGAGAGGAAGAAGAGAAGAAGAAGAAGUGAAGAUGAUCAAACAAGUGAAGAAGUGUUUGUUAAAACUUUUUACAGUGUGGAGUCGGACGCUGCUGUGAUGUCACUAACAGGAAACACUGAAGCAGAAGCAGUGACCACUGAAAGAGGAAGUGACAUCAGCAGGUCAUGUUUUACACUGGAGAAACUCGUCUGACCAGGCGGCGUGUUGUGUUCAGGUGUCUGAUGAUGGUGUGUUGUGUUCAGGUGUCUGAUGAUGGUGUGUUGUGUUCAGGUGUCUGAUGAUGGUGUGUUGUGUUCAGGUGUCUGAUGAUGACAUGUUGUGUUCAGGUGUCUGAUGAUGACAUGUUGUGUUCAGGUGUCUGAUGAUGGUGUGUUGUGUUCAGGUGUCUGAUGAUGGUGUGUUGUGUUCAGGUGUCUGAUGAUGACAUGUUGUGUUCAGGUGUCUGAUGAUGGUGUGUUGUGAUCAGGUGUCUGAUGAUGGUGUGUUGUGUUCAGGUGUCUGAUGAUGACAUGUUGUGUUCAGGUGUCUGAUGAUGGUGUGUUGUGUUCAGGUGUCUGAUGAUGGUGUGUUGUGUUCAGGUGUCUGAUGAUGACAUGUUGUGUUCAGGUGUCUGAUGAUGGUGUGUUGUGUUCAGGUGUCUGAUGAUGGUGUGUUGUGUUCAGGUGUCUGAUGAUGACAUGUUGUGUUCAGGUGUCUGAUGAUGGUGUGUUGUGUUCAGGUGUCUGAUGACGGCGUGCUGUGUUCAGGUGUCUGAUGAUGGCACUUUGUGUUCAGAUGUCUGAUGAUGGUGUGUUGUGUUCAGGUGUCUGAUGAUGGUGUGUUGUGUUCAGGUGUCUGAUGAUGACAUGUUGUGUUCAGGUGUCUGAUGAUGGUGUGUUGUGUUCAGGUGUCUGAUGACGGCGUGCUGUGUUCAGGUGUCUGAUGAUGGCACUUUGUGUUCAGAUGUCUGAUGAUGGUGUGUUGUGUUCAGGUGUCUGAUGAUGGUGUGUUGUGUUCAGGUGUCUGAUGAUGGCAUUUUGUGUUCAGGUGUCUGAUGAUGGUGUGUUGUGUUCAGGUGUCUGAUGACGGCGUGUUGUGUUCAGGUGUCUGAUGAUGGCACUUUGUGUUCAGAUGUCUGAUGAAUGCGUGUUGUGUUCAGGUGUCUGAUGAUGGCAUUUUGUGUUCAGGUGUCUGAUGAUGGUGUGUUGUGUUCAGGUGUCUGAUGAUGGCAUUUUGUGUUCAGGUGUCUGAUGAUGGUGUGUUGUGUUCAGGUGUCUGAUGAUGGCACUUUGUGUUCAGAUGUCUGAUGAAUGCGUGUUGUGUUCAGGUGUCUGAUGAUGGCAUUUUGUGUUCAGGUGUCUGAUGAUGGUGUGUUGUGUUCAGGUGUCUGAUGAUGGUGUGUUGUGUUCAGGUGUCUGAUGACGGCGUGUUGUGUUCAGGUGUCUGAUGAUGGCAUUUUGUGUUCAGGUGUCUGAUGAUGGUGUGUUGUGUUCAGGUGUCUGAUGAUGGUGUGUUGUGUUCAGGUGUCUGAUGAUGGCACUUUGUGUUCAGGUGUCUGAUGAUGGUGUGUUGUGUUCAGGUGUCUGAUGAUGGUGUGCUGUGUUCAGGUGUCUGAUGACGCGUGUUGUGUUCAGGUGUCUGAUGAUGGUGUGUUGUGUUCAGGUGUCUGAUGAUGGUGUGUUGUGUUCAGGUGUCUGAUGAUGACAUGUUGUGUUCAGGUGUCUGAUGAUGGUGUGUUGUGUUCAGGUGUCUGAUGAUGGUGUGUUGUGUUCAGGUGUCUCAUGAUGGCACUUUGUGUUCAGGUGUCUGAUGACGGCAUGUUGUGUUCAGGUGUCUGAUGAUGGCAUUUUGUGUUCAGGUGUCUGAUGAUGGUGUGUUGUGUUCAGGUGUCUGAUGACGGCGUGUUGUGUUCAGGUGUCUGAUGAUGGUGUGUUGUGUUCAGGUGUCUGAUGAUGGUGUGUUGUGUUCAGGGGUCUGAUGAUGGCACUUUGUGUUCAGGUGUCUGAUGAUGGCACUUUGUGUUCAGGUGUCUGAUGAUGGUGUGUUGUGUUCAGGUGUCUGAUGAAUGCGUGUUGUGUUCAGGUGUCUGAUGAUGGCACUUUGUGUUCAGGUGUCUGAUGAUGGUGUGUUGUGUUCAGGUGUCUGAUGAUGGU